CCAGGGCCACGUGCACGGCAGCUGCCACUCAAGCUCAUUCAAGGUUGUCUUGAUGUCCCUCCGUGGAGACGGAGACGAAGACGAAGACGAGUACAACAAUACUACACCCAUCGCUUGUGUAUACUCUUCGGAGACUGGCGUUUGGGGCAAUAUCAUCGCAGCAGCGGAUCAAUGUGAGCUUGCGGAUAGUAAUCCUGGAAUCCUUGUUGGCAAUGUCCUUUACUGGUCAUCUAAGAGUGUGAGUAACACAACUAUUUUUAUUGAUGAUCUCACGGACGACAUUGUUGAGUUUGAUUUGGAUAGGCAGAGUCUAGCUGUGAUCAAGGGUCCUCCAUGUCUUAAUUUCUCCCUCAGACAUCAGAUAAUCAGGGCAGAGCAUGAUGCUCUUGGUAUUGCUAUAUUUUCGCACUGUAGAUUCGAAGUGUGGCAGAGGAUGGUCAAUUGUCAUGGUGGUACUACAUGGUUGCUGCACAACGCCUUUGAAACGCAUACUCUUCUUGGACUCCCUCCUAGGAUUAGAGGGAUGAAAAUACUCGGGUAUGAUGAGGAUAAUGAUGCAAUUUUUCUAUUUGUGGACGCCAAUGUCUACAUGGUUCAACUUCUGUCCAUGCAAUUCAGAAGACUUUAUGAAAGCUGUUAUCCCAUCAACUGUCAUCCUUUUGCAAGUUUCUAUGCACCAGACAUUGCAAUUCCCGAUGGAUGCAGUGGAGUUGGAAUAUUGCACGGUGCAUAGAAAUAUAGAAUGAUUGUCGGUCUCAUGUGCCGAGCUGCUGGAAUUGUUCAACAGGUGAAGUAAUGGUUGCUGCAGUUCCCACCAUUUUGUCGCAUUGCAUCAGUGCACUUGGCAGUUUGUAUAUAUGCUUUCCGGAAGAACAUGCUAAACGCGUGCGGUAGUAUCAAAGUUCCUAAUGUAAAAAGAUGUGAUAUUGAUAUCUAAUCAAGGGAAGUUCGGCCUUCCCAACCUAUAAUUCUAUAAAGGUUUGGUUGUAUCGUUUCUACA